rnacentral:rRNA from 1 species
AAGUCGAACGGAGACUGUGUAGCAAUACUUAGUCUUAGUGGCGAACGGGUGCGUAACGCGUUGGUGACCUGCCCCGAAGAGGGGGAUAACAGUUCGAAAGGACUGCUAAUACCCCAUGUGGUCAUGGAGGUUAGAGACUCGAUGACUAAAGCAGCGAUGCACUUCGGGAGGGGCCUGCGUCCCAUCAGCUAGUUGGUAGGGUAACGGCCUACCAAGGCUUCGAUGGGUAGGGGAUCUGAGAGGGUGGUCCCCCACAUUGGCACUGAAACACGGGCCAAACACCUACGGGUGGCAGCAGUAGGGAAUAUUGGGCAAUGGGCGAAAGCCUGACCCAGCAACGCCGCGUGUGCGAUGAAGGCCUUCGGGUCGUAAAGCACUUUUCUGGGAGAUGAGAAAGGACAGUAUCCCAGGAAGAAGUCUCGGCUAACUACGUGCCAGCAGCCGCGGUAAAACGUAGGAGGCAAGCGUUAUCCGGAUUUACUGGGCGUAAAGCGCGUGCAGGCGGUUUGGUAAGUUGGAUGUGAAAGCUCCUGGCUCAACUGGGAGAGGUCGUUCAAUACUACCAGACUAGAGAGCGGUAGAGGAAGGUGGAAUUCCCGGUGUAGUGGUGAAAUGCGU